CCCUUAGAUGUUCUGGGCCGCACGCGCGCUACACUGAUGCAUUCAACGAGUCUAAAACCUGCUCUGAUAGGGGUGGGUAAUCUUUUGAAUGUGCAUCGUGAUUGGGAUAGAUGAUUGCAAUUUUUCAUCUUCAACGAGGAAUGCCUAGUAAACGCAAGUCAUCAGCUUGCAUUGAUUACGUCCCUGCCCUUUGUACACACCGCCCGUCGCUCCUACCGAUUGAAUGGUCCGAUGAAUAUCAUGGAUUGAGGAUGCAAGUAGGUUCGCCUAUCUUCAUCUUCGAGAAGUGAAGUAAAUCUUAUCAUUUAGAGGAAGGAGAAGUCGUAACA
rnacentral:rRNA from 1 species